rnacentral:rRNA from 1 species
GGUGUGGAUAGGGGAGAAAUUCCAAUCGAACCCGGAGAUAGCUGGUUCUCCUCGAAAUAGCUUUAGGGCUAGCCUCGUGAGAGUCAGGCGGAGGUAGAGCACUGAAUACCCGAGGGGGCGUCAAAGCUUACCAAAGGUUAUCAAACUCCGAAUGCCGCGCUGAUGCUUCACGGGAGUCAGACUACACGAGAUAAGUUGGGUGGUCAAAAGGGAAACAGCCCAGACCUGCAGCUAAGGUCCCAAAGUGCGUGUUAAGUGGAAAAGGAUGUGGGAUUUCGAAGACAACCAGGAUGUUGGCUCAGAAGCAGCCACACAUUCAAAGAGUGCGUAAUAGCUCACUGGUCGAGAGGUCCUGCGCCGAAAAUGUCCGGGGCUCAAACACGCCACCGAAGCUCAGGAAUGUAUUUAUACAUUGGUAGAGGAGCAUUGUCAGUGCAUCGAAGCUGUACCGGUAAGGAGCAGUGGAGCGCUGAGAAGAGAGAAUGCCGGAAUGAGUAGCGAGAAAGAGGUGGGAAUCCUCUUGGCCGAAUAUCCAAGGAUUCCGGGGUAAAGCUGAUCUGCCCCGGGUAAGUCGGGACCUAAGGCGAGGCAGAAAUGCGUAGCCGAUGGACAGCAGGUGGAGAUUCCUGCACUGCCAUAUAUCAGAAAUGUGGGGACGCAUCAGGAAAGUGUGGGCCGGGAAAGGAAAGACCGGUGCAAGCGGAGGAGGGGACAUGCAGGCAAAUCCGCAUGUCAACCCAAGAGCGUUAUGCGGAGCGAAGAAUAGUAGCGAAGCACACGGACAGGGUGCCGAGAAAAGCCGCUAUCGUGUAUAUGGUACCCGUACCGUAAACCGACACAGGUGGAUGAGGAGAGAAUCCUAAGGCCGGCGGGAGAAGCAUUGUUAAGGAACUCGGCAAAAUGACCCCGUAACUUCGGGAGAAGGGGUGCUCACGCAAGUGAGCCGCAGAGAACUGGCCCAAGCAACUGUUUAGCAAAAACACAGGUCUAUGCAAAACCGAAAGGUGAGGUAUAUGGGCUGACGCCUGCCCGGUGCUGGAAGGUUAAGAGGAGAGGUCAGAGCAAUCGAAGCCUUGAAUUUAAGCCCCAGUAAACGGCGGCCGUAACUAUAACGGUCCUAAGGUAGCGAAAUUCCUUGUCGGGUAAGUUC